GGUUCAGGACGAACGCUGGCGGCGUGCCUAAUACAUGCAAGUCGAACGGUCUUUUCUAUGGAAGCUUGCUUCCACUGAGAAGAUAGUGGCGAACGGGUGAGUAACAACGUGGGUAACCUGCCCAUAAGAGGGGGAUAACAUCCGGAAACGGGUGCUAAUACCGCAUAGUUUUCUUGAUCGCAUGAUCGGGAAAGGAAAGACGGCCUUUGUGCUGUCGCUUAUGGAUGGACCCGCGGCGUAUUAGUUAGUUGGUGAGGUAACGGCUCACCAAGACGAUGAUACGUAGCCGACCUGAGAGGGUGAUCGGCCACAUUGGGACUGAGACACGGCCCAAACUCCUACGGGAGGCAGCAGUGGGAAUAUUGCACAAUGGGGGAAACCCUGAAUGCAGCGACGCCGCGUGAAGGAAGAAGUAUUUCGGUAUGUAAACUUCUAUCAGCAGGGAAGAAAAUGACGGUACCUGACUAAGAAGCCCCGGCUAACUACGUGCCAGCAGCCGC
rnacentral:rRNA from 1 species